UGGGGAAUAUUGGACAAUGGGCGAAAGCCUGAUCCAGCCAUGCCGCGUGUGUGAAGAAGGUCUUCGGAUUGUAAAGCACUUUAAGUUGGGAGGAAGGGCAUUAACCUAAUACGUUAGUGUUUUGACGUUACCGACAGAAUAAGCACCGGCUAACUCUGUGCCAGCAGCCGCGGUAAUACAGAGGGUGCAAGCGUUAAUCGGAAUUACUGGGCGUAAAGCGCGCGUAGGUUGUAUGUUAAGUUGGAUGUGAAAUCCCCGGGCUCAACCUGGGAACUGCAUUCAAAACUGACUGACUAGAGUAUGGUAGAGGGUGGUGGAAUUUCCUGUGUAGCGGUGAAAUGCGUAGAUAUAGGAAGGAACACCAGUGGCGAAGGCGACCACCUGGACUAAUACUGACACUGAGGUGCGAAAGCGUGGGGAGCAAACA
rnacentral:rRNA from 1 species